CCUAGUUUAUCGACAAAGCAACCAAAUCCAUAAAGAGAGACUUAAUUAAUAGAAAAGAAAAAGAUCGAAGAUGGCAGGAAUCAUCAACAAGAUCGGAGAUGCACUCCACAUUGGAGGAGGCCACAAGGAAGACGAGCACAAGAAAGAGGAACACAAGAAACACGUGGACGAGCACAAGAGCGGAGAGCACAAAGAAGGUAUCGUUGAUAAGAUCAAAGACAAGAUCCACGGCGGAGAAGGCCACAGCGGCGGAGACGGCCACAAACAUGACGGUGAGAAGAAAAAGAAGAAGGACAAGAAGGAGAAGAAACACCAUGACGAUGGUCACCAGACUCACCUCAGCAGCAGCAGUGACAGCGACAGCGAUUAAGUUAAUUUCCGAUGAGAUUCCACGUGGAUUCGGUAAGAGAGACUAUAGCAGACUAUUGUUAUUGGCGAGAGGAGCUGCACCCAAAAAAAAGUUCGCGUGAGGUUGUCGAUACGAUGGUGGCAACAAAUUUGCAGCAGUGAGGAAUUGAGAGGUAGAGAAUCUGUAGGAGAGAGGGAGAUGAGAGGUUUAGGAAAAGAUUUAUACAUUCGCGUGAGUAUAAUUGAAUUAUUGUUGGUUAUUAUUUACGUAAGAGGUAGAAAAUCUGUAAGAGAGAAAGAGUGAAAAUGUUCAAGGGUAAACUUGUAUAUAUUAUAUAUAAUACGUAGAAUAUAGUAAGUUAGUAACCAUCAUCUUCAUAUGGUUAUUUUUUAAAUAUUAAAUUUUGUUGGUUAUUAACUG